rnacentral:rRNA from 1 species
UUAUGGCUCAGAGCGAACGCUGGCGGCAUGCUUAACACAUGCAAGUCGCACGGUCAGCAAUGGCAGUGGCGGACGGGUGAGUAACACGUAGGAAGUCUAUCCCAGGGUGGGGGGACGAACAAGCGGGAAACUGCUGCUAAUACCGCAUGAUACCUGAGGGUCAAAGGCGCAAGUCGCCUUGGGAGGAGCCUGCGUCUGAUUAGCUUGUUGGUGGGGUAAAGGCCUACCAAGGCGACGAUCAGUAGCUGGUCUGAGAGGAUGAUCAGCCACAUUGGGACUGAGACACGGCCCAAACUCCUACGGGAGGCAGCAGUGGGGAAUAUUGGACAAUGGGGGAAACCCUGAUCCAAGCAAUGCCGCGUGUGUGAAGAAGGUCUUCGGAUUGUAAAGCACUUUUGGCAGGGACGAUGAUGACGGUACCUGCAGAAUAAGCCCCGGCUAACUUCGUGCCAGCCGCCGC